rnacentral:ncRNA from 2 species
AUGAUCGUCGCGGGAGAGUCCGCUGCGCCGAAACGGCUGGCAGUGGCGCCGAAGGAGCAACCGCCCCCGGAACCUCUCAGGCACCCAGGACCGCGAUCGUUCC